GUGAACUCUGACCCGCAGCGAAGGCACUGCAAAUGAAGACGGCCUGGAAGGAGCCCGACGUCGCGACGGCGGUUGGCCUCUGCCGCGGGGGACAGCACGUCCACGAGAUCCUGCUCGAGGAGGGUGACGUUAAUUCAGGUUGAUACAGAAGGCCGCAAAAGCAACUUCACCUUGCGGGUCCAAGCUGCCUGCGUGGCCUCCACCUUGGCCAGGCAGUCCAGUUCCAGACAGCACCUUUCCUGGCCGGACUGCAUGUCGACCUCGAGCAAAUGGCUCUGUUUGACACGCAGAAACACCUCCGUCCUCCCCUCAUCCUGACUCUGGUCAUCUUCCUCUUCUUUGUCAGGUAAGACACCCACCAGGAGCGGCAGACACUGGUCCACUGCACUCCAAAAUAACCCAUCAAGUUCUGUUUGGUAACAUAUGCCACACGUGUUUUUUUUUUUUUUUUUGCUAUGGUUAUAACUACCUCCCAGGUUUUCCUCACGUUCUCCCUCCUUGGAAUGGCCGCUCUCCUGCCUCGCUGACUUGUGGGAGUCCAAACUGUGUCUGGUGGAAGGGACCUGAGUGUCUUCCAAAGUGGACUCUGAGUGCUGAGUGUUUUGACUGGGCCACUGUAAUGUGGACUCUGUUUCUGUCUCUUGCUCUGCCUCCGCCUCCGGCACCCUGGGCUCAGAUGUGAGAAGUGGCGGAGGAAGAACCUCCGGAGGUGGACGCAGAGGGGCCUCGAGGCUGUCGGAGAGCGUUUCCAAGCCGUGGAGAGUUUCGGAAGGAGGCGGAGCUGCAUCUACGUCCAAGUGGUGCUGGUACCGCAACCAGUCUUCACCCAGCUGCUCUCUGAAACUGGACAUGCGCUCAAUCUCCUCUUGGUGUGGAAGAACAAUGUCUAGAGAGGAAGCACACAGUGCUUAGAUAGGCACCAGAGCUUAACAAAUUGAAAAAGACACAGGAUCAGAUUCAGGGCCGAAAGAGUCCUGUGAAUAGGAGCAUGUGAAAAAAAUGACAAAAUAAUAAUAAUAAUAAAAUUAAAUGAAUAAAUAAAUAAAACAAUAAUAAUAAUAA